ACUCAAAUGAAUUGACGGGGGCCCGCACAAGCAGCGGAGCGUGUGGUUUAAUUCGACGCAACGCGAAGAACCUUACCAGGGCUUGACAUGGUGGGAAAAGCCAUCGAAAGGUGGUGUGCCCGCAAGGGCGUCCAUUACAGGUGCUGCACGGCUGUCGUCAGCUCGUGCCGUGAGGUGUUGGGUUAAGUCCCGCAACGAGCGCAACCCCUGUCGUGAGUUACAGGUGUCUCACGAGACUGCUGGUGGCAAGCCAGAGGAAGGCGGGGAUGACGUCAAGUCAGCGUGGCCCUUACGCCCUGGGCUACACACACGCUACAAUGGCCGGUACAGCGCGCAGCGACCCCGCGAGGUGAAGCGAAUCGCUUAAAGCCGGCCCCAGUUCAGAUUGCAGGCUGAAACCCGCCUGCAUGAAGGCGGAGUUGCUAGUAACCGCGGGUCAGCACACCGCGGUGAAUACGUUCCCGGGCCUUGUACACACCGCCCGU
rnacentral:rRNA from 1 species